rnacentral:tRNA from 1 species
UAUCAUAUAGCUUAUAUAAAGUGUAGUUUUGAAGAUACUAAGAAAAAUUGGUAGUUUAUUUUUA